CACAAGGUAGAGAAUGGACUGGAGGUAGGAAGACUGGUUAGGACGCUGUUAACAGUAAUCCAGAUGCCCUGGACUAAGGAGAUGGUAAAGGGAGUGGAGAGAUGUAUUCUAUUCAAGAGCUGUUGGAGCAGCAGCAUCAGCAGGACUUAGAGAAUGAUAGGAUGUGGGGUUACGGGAGGAGACGAGUUAAGAAUGACAGACUCCCAGAUUUCAACAGUGGUUCAUCAAAUCUGUUGUACAUAAGAAUCAGUUGGGGAGCAUGUUAAAAGUGCGGGUUUCUGGGCAACCCCUAAGCUGUGGAUUCAGUAGAUCCAUGGUCAGAAACCGGAAUCUGCAAUAUCUAGUAGAGUAGACAAUACUACAACCCAGCUAUCUCACCGUUAGGUAUAUGUCUUAGAGAAUCGCUAGCACUCUGUGACUUACAUUUUUUUUAAAAAGGAAAUAUUUAAUAUAUAAAAAAAGUAUAAAGAAGAAUACAUUGACCCUUAGACACCCAGCCCCUGGUCUACGCCUGCCGGGCACUGUUGUUUCCAGCCAGCUACAGCUAAAGCUAAGUGAUGCUCAGGACGUCAAAGCUUCCUGUGGUCCUUCCAGCAUCAUAAAAAGAAUGCAUUUGAGAGCAGCCGGCAUUGAUAACAGCUUUGGUAAAUACGGUAUUGGCUGAGUCUGUUGUAUUUUCAAUUAAGAUUUUAGCUUUCACACAGCAGGGCUUUAAUAGAAGUCAUAAGCCUGUGAGUAGGUCGUUGAGAACGUUGAAUACCUUUUUUAAUGAACCAAAUAGCAGGACUUUUGCUGCCAUUCCAGGAUUUUUUUUUUUUUAAGUUUUCUUCUGUCUCUCGUCUUUCCGAUACAUAGCUGAAGAUAAUUCUUUUUCCUCGCAACACCGUGUUAUUCCCUCCACUCCAUUAAUUACUACCUUAGUUUUUUGGUCCCUUAUAAAGCUUUUUAAUCCUAGUAAUCCAAGAGAUAAACUAGUAGGUGGAAUUUUCUGUUCUUUAUAGUAGGCUGUGGUCAAAAUCACACACAUUGUUGACAGGAUACGAAGAAAUGAGACACAUAUCCCAAGGAGACUGGCCACGGCAAAAGGCGGUGUGAUUGCUCUCUGCCAAUACUUCAUGCUUCCCUCAAAAUGACCUCUCCAGGUUUUGGCAGCGGGCUCUGGAUAACAUCAUGUUUCUGUAAAUCAGCUCGGUUGUGCAGAUAUGAUUUAGCUAUUUAUCCCCCAGGACAACAGGAUGUUGGUUGAUUUAGAUUUGAUGUUUAGAGAGAAAUGAGGAGGCCAGCCCUACCCACUGCUUGCCUCCUUGUCGCGGGGUACAGGGACACGUUUGCCAGUACACCAAGAUGUGAGCUUCCUGGCUUCGGGUUGACAUUUACAAGGCAUCUCCCAUGAAAGAGAUGAGCAGGAGACGGCAUGGUCCAAACCAUGGCAAGGCCUUCAGGGCCUUGCAGAGGUAGAGGACGCCACAGAGGUUCUCAAGAAAAGCAGUGAGUUAAAUAGAUACCUCAGCAGAAUGGUGAAUAAAAUAGGGCAGAUAUGUACACAUAAAUGCAGUAAAUUCCCAUCUGUCCGGGUUUGUGACAUGCCACGUGGUUACUGCCUUUUCUCAAAACUUCUUUCAUCUAUUCAAUCAUCCAACAAACAGUCAUUGAAUGCUGACUGGGUGUGUUUUGAAAUUGAAAGCACUGAAAGCACUGGGGAUUAUGGUGAACUAGGUAUCUCCUCAUGUAGCUUACAGUCUGGAGUUUACAGCUUAGGUAAUAAACAAAAUUAUAGCCGCUGCCCAUUAAAAAUACCAAAUAAUUGGGGAAAGAGGGAGAGUUUUAACACAUCGAUGUUCUGGACAAUUGAGAAUUACCAUUUACACCUUAAAUGGCUUCUCCAGUUUCAGAUAAGUAGACAUACCUGUAAGUAGUCUACUUAUAAAUGAGUAAACCGAAAUCAUGGUUCUGUUCAUUCAGAAAAUGUUUGUUGAGGAGCAGCUGUGCUCUCAUUACUGUUUUAAAUAGUGGGUUAUAAAAGUGACAAAAUUCCUGUCCUUAAUGAGCUCAUCAUCUAAGUGAGAAGAUGAGAAAAUUAACAAAGAGCUUCCAUAUAGGUGAUCAAGGCUUUCAUGAAGGAUGAAAAAAAAUCUAGAAGAAGGGGGAUGGGGCAGGUAAUGCUGGUUGGAAGGAGGAUGGCAAUGAAGACUUUGAGCUGAGUCUUGAAGAAUGAGUAAGGCGAUGCCAGGCAGGCCAGGGGUUGGGGAGUUCACGUCAGAUGGAGGGAACAUCAUGUACAUUCCCAACUGAAAAUAGUGCCUUCAGGGUGCACAGAGAGUGCAUCUGGGCAGCAGCCAAAGAUAAGCCUAGAAAGGGAAACAGCCACGUCUUGAAGGGCUCUGUGUGCCCUGGCAGUGUAGCUGGACUUUAUCUGGCAGGCAUGGAAAGCCUCUACUGUGUUUUGAGCACGAUUGGAUUAAAUGAUUAGAUUUGCCUGUUGAGACUCAGGCUGAGGUAGUGUGCGCUUCCUAAGGUGUGGCUGAAGGUGUAAAGCCCAGAGGCGGGGAGGGAGCUCCAGGUAAGCAAUGAUGAUGCCGUGGCAGAAGGAUAAUAAUCCUCAGGUGUGCUUUGAGUUUGGUUCCAAAUCAAAGAGAGUUUAAUUGAAAAUGAAAGAAACAUAUCUAAAAAGAAGUCAUACGUUACAAUUGAAUCUGGUCUCCUCACUUAAAAACGAACAAAAACAACCUAGAAUCAUAUUACAAGAGAAAUAAAACUGCUUGUGCCUUUUGACCUGGUAAUUCUAUUAAGGGAUUCCCGAGAAAACAAUCUAGAGAAGAGAAAAAUAACUUUGUUCAAAGAGGUUUUUAACUAUACUACUCAAAUAGCCAACAGAUGAAAAUAAUCCAAAUGUCUGAAAAUAAGGGAUGUUGGCCAAGUGUCAUCUAUCAAGAUGACUGAAUACUACAUAAAUAUUAGAAUAACCAUAGCUAUCCAUGGGAACAUGUAUGGGGGAGAAGGGAAGACUCCAAAACAAUAUAUACACAGUGACCACUACUGUAAGUUCCUACUAUGUUGGCCCCACUGCUGGGUUUUGGGAACACAAAAAUAAGCCAGACACAGUCCCCGUCCUCUGAGAUCUCCUAGUCCACUGAGAAAGCCAAAGUCUUACAAUUACAACAAUGCCAGGAGUUCUAGACCGAGCUGGGCACCAUGAGAGCCCAGAAGAGGACUUUCCCAACUUAGAGCCUACACACAACACAACACAGCACAAACGUGGAUGUUGAAAUCAGUGGCAGAACUCAGUUGCAAAUCUAGAUGACCCCAACAUGUACUUGUUAGUUUUGUUAGAUUGUCCUGGACAUGAAAACAGAAAUUGUAGAAUUUAUGAUCACUCAAAUCCUCAAGAAUAUUUGCAUGGAGCCCCUUAAGAGUCCUUGGACCCUGGUUUGAGAAACGAAGAACUAAAAAUAGAAGAGUGGCCAUGAGUAGAAGAGAAAGAAGACAAAGAUUCUCCCCACAGUAUUUAUCUCCUGAUUAGGAUUGAGAGAGAGAGAAAGAGUCAGAGAUGACAUCGAAGAUUGAAGCCUCAGCCUCUGGGAGAAUGGCAGCAGGGCUCCCUGAAAUGAGAAACCCAAGGAGAAGAUCAAGUCUGAGAGUGAAAAAAAUAACUUGAAAAAAAACAUUUUCAACGAUGAGUUUUGAGUAGCAAAACUGGAAAGGAUAUUGCCAGUCUGUUGUACAUUCGUGGUGUGCUGAAUCUCAAUGCUCUUUCUUUCACAAACGUGCUUCAAUGCACAGAAGAAAGUGGAAACACUGUAAAUCUCAGAGCCGCAGAGGGAGAGCUGAAGGAGGAGAAACACAAUUUGGGGUUCAUCCCCUGGGUUGGACGUCAAAACACCAGUUGUCUCUCUGUUUCCACUUGCUGAAACAGACAUUCCCGAGAAGGUGAAGUGAAGAUGAGGAAAAUGAGGCUCGGAGUGGUCCAAGGUCACAAGCCUGUUUGUGUCAGGCAGUUCAGAUGCCACAGUAUAACGCUGCCUCCACUGCACCGUUAUUCCAGCACCAACUUUCUGAGCACUGGUGAGCUCUAACCUGAUCUUGGUUCUCAUUUCACAGAGUGCCCAUGCCUCCGACCAGCUAUAACUGUGGUGUGCCUGGACAAUUCUUGCACCCAUCCAUAGUUCAGAAAGACCUUCUGCAUCCCAAUUAACCACUUUUCACUAUAUAAGCACUAAAAAAAAACCUAUUCAAAUAGAACUUGAAUAAAUUUGUAGAAUACUCACCUUGUAACACGCUAAAAGUAAUUUCAUUUUGGUAACUUGUAAUGAGAGAUUAUCUGAAGAUAAAGGAAGGAAACAAAUGUAUCCGUUUGUGCAAAGAAAGCAAUGUCCAUACCCUCCCUUCUAAUUUCUGUAACAUUCUGCUGCAUGCCAGUUGCUUUAUUUUUAUUUCAAUGCAUAAUUCUAAAUUUCUAGUUAAUGUAACUUACCAGAAUCCCAAAGGAUAGGAACAAGAUCCCUUGGAAUUAGGAAAGAGAGCCGUGAACAUUAAAUAAAGGUAGGUAGGGCUGUGUGUGUGUGCAUGCGUGUGUGCAUCUGCGGCAACUGAGGCAGGCAGGGGACUGACAUCUUGGUUUGGGGUGCGUUUCUGGUUUCUGCCCAUGUAGCUCUGCAUAACCCACUGAGUUUGAGGAUGGGCUGUGGCUGAAAUGGCUGAUUCACGUACUGGAAAACAAAUUGCAGACAAACCUGGAACAAAGGGCAUCUCUAAUGCUGUAGGCAGAUUAUGCGCCACAGGCCAA